CCGGUAGCUAAAUGCGGAAGAGAUAAGUGCUGAAAGCAUCUAAGCACGAAACUUGCCCCGAGAUGAGUUCUCCCUGAGACUUUAAGUCUCCUGAAGGAACGUUGAAGACGACGACGUUGAUAGGCCGGGUGUGUAAGCGCAGCGAUGCGUUGAGCUAACCGGUACUAAUGAACCGUGAGGCUUAACCUU
rnacentral:rRNA from 1 species